UACGUAGGGUGCAAGCGUUGUCCGGAAUUAUUGGGCGUAAAGGGCUCGUAGGCGGUCUGUCGCGUCUGCUGUGAAAUCCCGAGGCUCAACCUCGGGCCUGCAGUGGGUACGGGCAGACUAGAGUGCGGUAGGGGAGAUUGGAACUCCUGGUGUAGCGGUGGAAUGCGCAGAUAUCAGGAAGAACACCGAUGGCGAAGGCAGAUCUCUGGGCCGUAACUGACGCUGAGGAGCGAAAGCAUGGGGAGCGAACAGG
rnacentral:rRNA from 1 species